UCUCGCAGCGAGGGUAAGAGAGGUGGAGGAAUCCAUCCCCGAAACUCAAAACGGGGUCUUUGGUAUUCAUCCCACGCUUCUUUCUUCUUAACUGGCUGCUCAGAGAGUGACGCCGGUUCGAUAUAAUGGUUGAACUCUUAAUCAGUCAGGCCCCUUGGUGUAUUGACCCACACAGGAUGCGGAGGUUCAGGGGCACGUCCGGUACCUUCGCGUAUGUGUCAUCUCCACUCCAGCAUGCUUAUGUUCUUACAGAAUGCCCAUGCCUUGGUUUUCCAGAGUUAAGCGGUGGUGCUAUAGACGGGUCCCGCGAGGCAGUUUAGACUCGACCAAUAUAUUCUACGGAAACGGGCAACCCGAGCAUCCACCCAAGGAGAAAGAAGCGUGGCAGGAUUAUGUAAAAAGUCCUUACCAAAAAAAAGUAUAUGGUCCAGGGAUAACAACAAAAGGGAAAGACGCAGACAGAGGAUUAUAAUGGGUGGUUAGAGGACGAGAUAAAGGGAAUGAUCAAAAUGACUAUUAUGGAAGUGCCGCAGUAUAAGCUGAAGGAGCUGCAGGAAAAAAUAACGAAGAGAGAGAAAGAAGAGGCGAAGAAGAAGGAAGGAAAGAAGCAAAGAAAGCCGGCUGCGAGGGAUCAGGAUCUCUUUUCUGGCGAUGUGGAGACCUUCCCUUUCUACUCCGUUCUUUCUCCAGGCGACAGGUGGAACUCCAAGUGAUAGGUGAAAAGAGACCCUCUUCUGAGCUUCUGGGAUGGAGUCUGGAUCUUGACCAACCCAUAUGGAAGAAAGCUUUCUUUGAUGAGAUUCUUUGCCUUGCACGCAUGCAUGGCCUUGAACUUUGGUUGGUUAGCUGCCUACUCGGUUACCCAUGCCAGGGUCUAUUUCCUUUUUUGAGCUGGAUU
rnacentral:lncRNA from 1 species